rnacentral:rRNA from 1 species
GUCGUAGUCCGGAUUGGAGUCUGCAACUCGACUCCAUGAAGUCGGAAUCGCUAGUAAUCGCAAAUCAGAAUGUUGCGGUGAAUACGUUCCCGGGCCUUGUACACACCGCCCGUCACACCAUGGGAGUGGGUUGCACCAGAAGUAGCUAGCUUAACCUUCGGGAGGGCGGUUACCACGGUGUGAUUCAUGACUGGGGUGAAGUCGUAACAAGGUAGCCCUAGGGGAACCUGGGGCUGGAUCACCUCCUUAUCACGA